UCAGGACGAACGCUGGCGGCGUGCUUCAUACAUGCAAGUCGAACGAGAAUCUGGGCUUCGGUCAGAGGAAAGUGGCGGACGGGUGAGUAAUGUGUAGAGAAUCUGCCCUUUAGUGGGGGACAACAGUUGGAAACGACUGCUAAUACCCCAUAUGCGCGUAGCUGAGAUGCUAUUCGUGAAAACUCCGGUGCUAAAGGAUGAGUCUGCAUCUGAUUAGCUAGUUGGCGGUGUAAUGGACCACCAAGGCGACGAUCAGUAGCUGGUCUGAGAGGAUGAUCAGCCACAAUGGGACUGAGACACGGCCCAUACUCCUACGGGAGGCAGCAGUAGGGAAUUUUGCGCAAUGGGGGAAACCCUGAACCGCAGCAACGCCGCGUGAUUGAAUAAGCCCUUCGGGGUGUAAAGAUCUGUCAGUAGGGACGAAACUUGACGGUACCUACAGAGGAAGCAUCGGCUAACUCCGUGCCAGCCGCGGC
rnacentral:rRNA from 1 species